rnacentral:rRNA from 1 species
AUGCCAGAAGAAUGGAGACGGAGUAUAUUAGUACCAAUCUUCAAGAACAAGGGGGGUGUUCAAAGUUGUACUAAUUACCGUGGAAUUAAGCUGAUGAGCCAUACAAUGAAGCUAUGGGAGAGAGUCAUUGAGCACCGCUUAAGAAGAAUGACAAGCGUGACCAAAAACCAGUUUGGUUUCAUGCCUGGGAGGUCGACCAUGGAAGCCAUUUUCUUGGUACGACAGCUUAUGGAGAGAUAUAGGGAGCAAAAGAAGGACUUGCAUAUGGUGUUCAUUGACUUGGAGAAGGCCUAUGAUAAGAUACCGCGGAAUGUCAUGUGGUGGGCCUUGGAGAAACACAAAGUCCCAGCAAAGUACAUUACCCUCAUCAUGGACAUGUACGAUAAUGUUGUGACAAGUGUUCGAACAAGUGAUGUUGACACUGAUGACUUCCCGAUUAAGAUAGGACUGCAUCGGGGGUCAGCUUUGAGCCCUUAUCUUUUUGCAUUGGUGAUGGAUGAGGUCACAAGGGAUAUACAAGGAGAUAUCCCAUGGUGUAUGCUCUUUGCGGAUGAUGUGGUGCUAUUUGACGAUAGUCGGGCGGGGGUAAAUAGGAAGUUAGAGUUAUGGAGACAAACCUUGGAAUCGAAAGGGUUUAGGCUUAGUAGGACUAAAACUGAGUACAUGAUGUGCGGUUUCAGUACUACUAGGUGUGAGGAGGAGGAGGUUAGCCUUGAUGGUCAGGUGGUACCUCGGAAGGACACCUUUCGGUAUUUGGGGUCAAUGCUGCAGGAGGAUGGGGGUAUUGAUGAAGAUGUGAACCAUCGGAUGAAAGCCGGAUGGAUGAAGUGGCGCCAAGCUUCUGGCAUUCUCUGUGACAAGAGAGUGCCACAAAAGCUAAAAGGCAAGUUCUACAGGACGGCGGUUCGACUCGCAAUGUUGUAUGGAGCUGAGUGUUGGCCGACUAAAAGGCGACAUGUUCAACAGUUAGGUGUGGCGGAGAUGCGUAUGUUGAGAUGGAUGUGUGGCCACACGAGGAAGGAUCGAGUCCGGAAUGAUGAUAUAUGA